rnacentral:rRNA from 1 species
ACGAACGCUGGCGGCGUGCUUAACACAUGCACGUCGAACGGAAAGGCCCUGCUUUUGUGGGGUGCUCGAGUGGCGAACGGGUGAGUAACACGUGAGUAACCUGCCCUUGACUUUGGGAUAACUUCAGGAAACUGGGGCUAAUACCGGAUAGGAGCUUCUGCCGCAUGGUGGGGGUUGGAAAGUUUCGGCGGUUGGGGAUGGACUCGCGGCUUAUCAGCUUGUUGGUGGGGUAGUGGCUUACCAAGGCUUUGACGGGUAGCCGGCCUGAGAGGGUGACCGGCCACAUUGGGACUGAGAUACGGCCCAGACUCCUACGGGAGGCAGCAGUGGGGAAUAUUGCACAAUGGGCGGAAGCCUGAUGCAGCAACGCCGCGUGCGGGAUGACGGCCUUCGGGUUGUAAACCGCUUUCGCCUGUGACGAAGCGUGAGUGACGGUAAUGGGUAAAGAAGCACCGGCUAACUACGUG